UUCGUCUUUCCCAUGUGGCCUUGGCAGCGGACCUGGUUGGCAGCGAGGUCCUAUAAGGGGGGUGUAGGCGCAGAAAAGGACACAAGAGCUGAAGCCUGAGCUAAGCCUGAGCUGAGCCAAGCA